CUAAGUUUGAUGGCGACCGGCGCACGGGUGAGUAACACGUAUCCAACCUGCCUCAUACUCGGGGAUAGCCUUUCGAAAGAAAGAUUAAUAUCCGAUAGCAUAUAUUUCCCGCAUGGGUUUUAUAUUAAAGAAAUUCGGUAUGAGAUGGGGAUGCGUUCCAUUAGUUUGUUGGGGGGUAACGGCCCACCAAGACUACGAUGGAUAGGGGUUCUGAGAGGAAGGUCCCCCACAUUGGAACUGAGACACGGUCCAA
rnacentral:rRNA from 1 species